rnacentral:rRNA from 1 species
AAAUUGAAGAGUUUGAUCAUGGCUCAGAUUGAACGCUGGCGGCAGGCCUAACACAUGCAAGUCGAACGGUAGCACAGAGAGCUUGCUCUCGGGUGACGAGUGGCGGACGGGUGAGUAAUGUCUGGGAAACUGCCUGAUGGAGGGGGAUAACUACUGGAAACGGUGGCUAAUACCGCAUAACGUCGCAAGACCAAAGAGGGGGACCUUCGAGCCUCUUGCCAUCAGAUGUGCCCAGAUGGGAUUAGCUAGUUGGUGAGGUAACGGCUCACCAAGGCGACGAUCCCUAGCUGGUCUGAGAGGAUGACCAGCCACACUGGAACUGAGACACGGUCCAGACUCCUACGGGAGGCAGCAGUGGGGAAUAUUGCACAAUGGGCGCAAGCCUGAUGCAGCCAUGCCGCGUGUAUGAAGAAGGCCUUCGGGUUGUAAAGUACUUUCAGCGGGGAGGAAGGUGUUGUGGUUAAUAACCGCAGCAAUUGACGUUACCCGCAGAAGAAGCACCGGCUAACUCCGUGCCAGCAGCCGCGGUAAUACGGAGGGUGCAAGCGUUAAUCGGAAUUACUGGGCGUAAAGCGCACGCAGGCGGUCUGUCAAGUCGGAUGUGAAAUCCCCGGGCUCAACCUGGGAACUGCAUUCGAAACUGGCAGGCUUGAGUCUUGUAGAGGGGGGUAGAAUUCCAGGUGUAGCGGUGAAAUGCGUAGAGAUCUGGAGGAAUACCGGUGGCGAAGGCGGCCCCCUGGACAAAGACUGACGCUCAGGUGCGAAAGCGUGGGGAGCAAACAGGAUUAGAUACCCUGGUAGUCCACGCCGUAAACGAUGUCUACUUGGAGGUUGUGCCCUUGAGGCGUGGCUUCCGGAGCUAACGCGUUAAGUAGACCGCCUGGGGAGUACGGCCGCAAGGUUAAAACUCAAAUGAAUUGACGGGGGCCCGCACAAGCGGUGGAGCAUGUGGUUUAAUUCGAUGCAACGCGAAGAACCUUACCUGGUCUUGACAUCCACAGAAGAAUCCAGAGAUGGAUUUGUGCCUUCGGGAACUGUGAGACAGGUGCUGCAUGGCUGUCGUCAGCUCGUGUUGUGAAAUGUUGGGUUAAGUCCCGCAACGAGCGCAACCCUUAUCCUUUGUUGCCAGCGAUUAGGUCGGGAACUCAAAGGAGACUGCCAGUGAUAAA